rnacentral:rRNA from 1 species
GUAGGUGGCAAGCGUUGUCCGGAAUUAUUGGGCGUAAAGCGCGCGCAGGCGGUUCUUUAAGUCUGAUGUGAAAGCCCACGGCUCAACCGUGGAGGGUCAUUGGAAACUGGAGAACUUGAGUACAGAAGAGGAAAGCGGAAUUCCACGUGUAGCGGUGAAAUGCGUAGAGAUGUGGAGGAACACCAGUGGCGAAGGCGGCUUUCUGGUCUGUAACUGACGCUGAGGCGCAAAAGCGUGGGGAGCAAACAGGAUUAGAUACCCUGGUAGUCCACGCCGUAAACGAUGAGUGCUAAGUGUUAGGGGGUUUCCGCCCCCUUAGUGCUGCAGCUAACGCAUUAAGCACUCCGCCUGGGAGUACGGCCGCAAGGCUG